GGGGGCGUAAAUGGUUUCGACGGGGAAUGCUUUUGAGGGGUGCAAAGCGUGUGGUAGUCGGUUACCUUAAAACGAAAAAACCAAAUUAAACGCAGAUAAUCAAAAUCUUGCUGUUGCUGCUUAGUUGGCAACUGUCCGAGCGAGUUCUCCCACAAAUUUGCUAGCGGGCAUCAAAAACGUGGGGAACGUUCAGUGUUUUGUCUUUGAACAUUGAAACGACAAAAAAAGACUAGUUUGAUUCACAUUUGUUCAUUAUGUGCAUUAAAAUGAAAGUCUCAAAUGAACUAAACACGUAGAAAAGCCGUUCAUGCUUUUUCGGACGUGGGUUCAACUCCCACCGUCUCCACCA
rnacentral:tmRNA from 1 species